GGGUAGGGAAAUUGUUUGCCGAGAAUGCAUUAAAGAGCCAGGAAAACAUAGUAGAUUGUGGAAUCAUGAAGAUAUCUACCAUGUGUUAACCAAAAAUAAUGGGACUGAAGCUGUUGACAUAGUGCUAAAAACCGCUAAUGCAUUGCUCCCACAGUUUUUUGCAAUAUGAAUAGAAUUAAAUUGCUCAAAGUCUAUAAUUCUGGUAGCAGUGUAGAUGAUGAAUUGUAUAUUCGAAACAUUGAGUUUCCUGCUAAUGAUGUGCACUUCCCUGAAGGCCUUGUAUCUUUUCCUGAUGAACUAAGGUUUCUUCGAUGGGACUUCUGUCCCCUGAAAAAUUUGCCAUCAAAGUUUCAUGUUGAGAUGCUUGUUGAGCUUAACAUGUGUGGUAGUCGUAUUGAAAGACUUUGGGAGGGAAUGCAGGAACUUCCAAGUUUAAAAAUGAUCAAACUCUGUUACUGUAAAGACUUGAUUGAAAUGCCAGACUUCUCAGGACUUCAGAUUCUUGAGAGCAUAGAUUGUGGAGGCUGCAUGAAUUUGGUGGAGGUUUCUCCAUCUAUUGGAUGUCUCAAGAACCUUCAUACUUGAAUCUGGCAAAUUGUAGAAAAAUCAAACAUGUUCCAAACAUCAAAUUUUUGAGAUCUUUGGAGCAUCUUGACCUCUACAAUUGUUCAAAAAUCAACAAGUUUCCUGAAGUUCCAACAAGAAUAGAAUUUUUAAGUUUAAAGGGUACUGCAAUAGAAGAAAUACCCUCAUCCAUUGGAUUGCUUUGUAAGGUUAGAUCCCUCAGUUUGCGCGACUGCAGAAGGCUUAAGAGUCUUCCAAAUGUUGUUUUCAAAAUGAAGCAUCUUUACUUUCUUGCCAUAGCUGUACCAUGCAUCAAUCUAUGGGAACAUGUAAACUAUCUUCCUCACUUAUCUUAAUUAUGUCGGUUAAAUCUAAUGGGAAACGAUUUUGAGAGCAUACCUUCAAGCAUCAAGCAAAUUUCAUGGCUUCGAGAGCUCAACUUAAGCUUCUGCAGAAAGCAAAGAUCAUUGCCAGAAUUUCCACCAUGCUUACAUCGUCUCGAUGCAACCGGUUGUGUACCGCUCCAAACAGCUUCAAAUUCAAUAAGAUCACUAACAGAAGGUUGAAGUAGGUUUUUUUUCAUGAAUUGCCUGAGUUUGGAUGAGAAUGAAUGCAGAAACAUUUUGGUACAUGCACAGCACAGGAUACUACAUUUGGCACAUGCAAUUCUCGAACUCAAGGAAAUAAGAUUCCAAAGUGGGUUCAACAUCAAAGCAUAGGUUUCUCGAGUACCAUUUCAUUGCCUCCAAAUUGGUAUAAGAACUUGUUGGAUUUCACAUUUUGUGCUGUUUUCGAAUAUGGGAAAAUCAUUCAUGCUGAAGGAAGGCGGAUGAGAAUGGAAUGCAAAUUCAAAUCCAGUUGCGCAAAAGCUAUCACUUGUCUGCAAGUUUCUGCAAUUGGGAUAGGAAUGUAAUACCAGAGUUGGAACAGACAUUGGUAUACUAUAACAGUGACUUCAGUUUUAAAAUUAAGGAGAAAGGAGAGGACAUGUGCAGCUAUAGUGAAUUAUUGCUUGAAUUCUUGAUGGAAGACUAUAAUAACAAGUCUAUGGCUUCUUCCAAGGUUAACAAGUGCGGGGUUCGACUGCUAUACAAUGGAGAGGAAAGAGUACAAUGCAGCAAUGUCUUGUGAUCCAACUCGGUCCACUUCAAAAUAUGAAGGAGAAGAACCAAGCAAGACGUUUGGCUCUGGUAAGGCUCAGGCUUAAUCCUGUGGUGUGAUGAGGAGGAAGAGGAAGCACGUGAAAUAUUUAUCUAUAAUGAGGCUGAGGCAGAACCGAUGAAGCAUAUAGCUGUGUGGAGUAAGAAGAGGAAAAGGAACCAAGUCGAGCAUUUACCAAUGUUCACACGGAGGAAGAGGAGCAACACCUUGCAGGCUGGAUCUUUCCUAGUGUAGAUAGACGUCGCUAAUUUCUUACGUGUAUUGACAAAUAAAUCUUCUCCUUUUUUUGUUGUUUUUUCUUUUCCAAUCAAUUUCUCUCUUUCGCUUUCUUUUAUU